rnacentral:rRNA from 1 species
GACGAACGCUGGCGGCGUGCUUAACACAUGCAAGUCGAGCGGUAAGGCCCUUUCGGGGGUACGACGAGCGGCGAACGGGUGAGUAACACGUGGGUGACCUGCCCUCAGCUCUGGGAGUAAGCCCGGGAAACUGGGUCUAAUACUGGAUAUGACCCCAUGACGCAUGUUGUGGGGUGGAAAGCCUUGUGCGGCUGAGGAUGGGCCCGCGGCCUAUCAGCUUGUUGGUGGGGGAUGGCCUACCAAGGCGACGACGGGUAGGCCGGCCUGAGAGGGCGGACC